AUGCAAGUCGAGGGGCAGCGCGGGUAGCAAUACCUGGCGGCGACCGGCAAACGGGUGCGGAACACGUACGCAACCUUCCCAAAACUGGUGAAUAGCCCUCCGAAAGGAGGAUUAAUACACCGUAAGAUAGUGAAGCGGCAUCGCUUUAUUAUUAUAGGCUUCGGUCGGUUUUGGAUGGGCGUGCGCCUGAUUAGGUAGUUGGCGGGGUAACGGCCCACCAAGCCUGCGAUCAGUAACUGGUGUGAGAGCACGACCAGUCACACGGGCACUGAGACACGGGCCCGACUCCUACGGGAGGCAGCAGUAAGGAAUAUUGGUCAAUGGACGCAAGUCUGAACCAGCCAUGCCGCGUGAAGGAUGAAGGUCCUCUGGAUUGUAAACUUCUUUUAUCUGGGACGAAAAAAGCUCAUUCUUGAGCACUUGACGGUACCAGAGGAAUAAGCACCGGCUAACUCCGUGCCAGCAGCCGCGGUAAUACGGAGGGUGCAAGCGUUAUCCGGAUUUACUGGGUUUAAAGGGUGCGUAGGUGGGCAGGUAAGUCAGUGGUGAAAUCUCCGGGCUUAACCCGGAAACUGCCAUUGAUACUAUCUGUCUUGAAUAUCCUGGAGGUGAGCGGAAUAUGUCAUGUAGCGGUGAAAUGCUUAGAUAUGACAUAGAACACCAAUUGCGGAGGCAGCUCACUACGGGAUUAUUGACACUGAGGCACGAAAGCGUGGGGAUCAAACAGGAUUAGAUACCCUGGUAGUCCACGCCCUAAACUAUGGAUACUCGACAUCAGCGAUACACUGUUGGUGUCUGAGCGAAAGCAUUAAGUAUCCCACCUGGGAAGUACAUCGCAAGAUUGAAACUCAAAGGAAUUGACGGGGGUCCGCACAAGCGGUGGA
rnacentral:rRNA from 1 species